CGGCCCCUUUAAGAGGGGGUGGUGCUGCAGCCAGUCGCUAUGACGCUAUUGGUGUGCGCGCCUCUACGGAAGCCGAGACGGCGCUUUCCGCGGGGCCCCGGCGGAACCGGCAGCGUCUUUGAAGCGAGCGGAAGCGGCGGCCAUGUGGUCGGAGCGAGCAAAAGCGGCGGCCACAGUGGGCGGCGUAGUCCUAAUGAGCAGAAGCGCAGUCGGCUUCCCAGCGAGCCGAAGCUAUCGCGCGGUCCCAGCCGGCAAAAGUGGAGUAGGUGUCCAGCGAGCAGAAGUGGCGGCGUCCAGAAGCGGCGAGCUUCGGAGAAGCUGUGGUGGCUUCCAUGUGAUGGGGGAGCAGGAUCGAGGCUUCCGCGGUUCAUCUGGGUUGCUCCACAUGACACUGUUUAAUCAUCAUUUCGGUGGCCGAAGAAUAUUCCCUAGUGUAUGCAUACAAGAGUUUCUUGAUCCCUUUGUGGAUGGACAGGAGAUGAAGAUAUUUUCAGUCUGCAUGCCUGAGAUCGUGUGGAACGGGACUUUCUCUACCAGGCUCAUUCGUUGGACCUGAUGUUCUCCAGGUUUCUUCAUGUGGCUGCAGAUGGCAGGAUUUCCCAGAGCUUUAUGGCUGGAACAUACUCCAUGGUGUAUCUGUACCGCAGUUUCUUCAUCCCUGCAGCUGUGGGUGGACAGGUCAUACAUGAUGUCCUCCAAGUUCAACAGCGUGGCUCCAAAUGAUGACAUUUCAUUCCGGUUUUCUAGCUGAAGAUGAUUGUGUUUGUGCACAUACACCAGGUAACCCUUCAUCUGUGGAUGAGCAGGUUUUUCCACGUGGCCACAAGUGACGAGAUUUCACCCAUUUCUACGAUUGAAGAAUAUUCUGCUCUGGAUGUAUAUUGCAGUUUCCUCAUCCCUUCAUCAAUGGAAGAACAGGGAUUCAUAAUACGGUGGACCCACAAUGGACUGGAAGCAUCCCUUUCAAAGCAUCAUUUCAGGAUGAGUAUUGUCAAUUGGAUUCAAGGAACAAUGCGAAGGAUCCAUAGCCUCAGUCACCAUGAAGAGCCUCCGAAGAGCCAACUGUCCUGGGCACAUAUAAGUGAGUGGAGACAUGGAACUCACCCUUACAAGGCCUAGAACCUGACAGAUCAUACAAGACAGAAGCCCAAAUAACUAAGAACAGGAAGCUGAGGGUGAGAGGUGGGCCCCAAAGGAUUCUGUGAAAAUGCUUUGCGUUUGUGGAUUUAUCACGCAGAAUGAAACUUUUGUUUUUAUUCACAGGUUAGACACACACUAUAGAAUCUAUGAAGGGACAUUUCUGAGUUUUUUGAGGCCUAUCGUGAAAAAUGGGUUAUCUCGGGCAGGUCAGGAUAAAUAAUGCAGUCACCAAAGAGGUGGCCAGCAGCAGGGAUGGGCAUUGUGAGCCAUUGGAUGGGGUUUUGGGAAGUGGCAUUGUGAGUCACUGGCCUGACUUUGUUGUUUCCUGGUAACGGUAACCCGGUGACAUAGAAUGCUUUGUGGGGGGCAGGCAUCAGCCAGGACCAGCAGCCUUCAGUCGGAAGCUGGUAGUGGUAGGAGGAGGAGCUCCGACUACUCUCAGAAGUGUGCCCUUGGCGCUUGCUCUGUUGCUUUUUUUUUUAUUUUAUUUUAUUUGUUGCUUUGUUUUGUGUUUUUCUUUUGUGUGUGUGUGUGUUGCUUUUUCUUAUUUUUCUUUUUCUUUUUUGUGUGUGUUGUUUUCCCCCUUGUAUAUCACCCAUGGGGAACUGCCUGCGCCCCAGCGCUGGCCUCAGUUGUACCUUCUGCGAGGCUUGUAGCCAGUCUGAGGAAUCCACCAUUCCAGAGCCUGCUGUGUUACAUCCCAGAGUGGCGGAGGUGCAGGACGUGCAGCCCGUAAAACCAAAGAGGCGCAAAGGUUUGGCUCGCCGUGUCAGGAGCUGGGUAGCCAAAAAAUGGAGACAAAAGAAAAGGUGCCCCAAUAAAAUGAAGGUAGGGUAGAAAUUAUAUCAUUAAGUUUAUUGAAGCAAAUAAUUCCAGUUUACUCAUCCAGUGUCCCAUAUGAGAGAAA